AAACCUCCAUCAGCCAUGAUGACGUCAGCACCAUAUUCCUCAACAGUGAGACCAUCAUGUUUCUGCACGAGAUCUUCCAUCAGGGUCUUAACGCUCGGAUCGCUAACUGGCCCACGCUAGUCCUGGCGGACCUGUUUGACAUCC